GGGUGCGUGGCAGAGAGGCCUAUCGCACCGGCUUGCUAAGCCGGAGGGGCACGUCAGUGCCCCCGCAGGUUCGAAUCCUGCCGCACCCG
rnacentral:tRNA from 1 species